GGGGAUUUAGCUCAGUGGCACAGCACCUGCCUUGCAAGCACAAGGUCCUGAGUUCAAUCCCCG
rnacentral:tRNA from 1 species